CCUACGGGAGGCAGCAGUAGGGAAUCUUCCACAAUGGACGAAAGUCUGAUGGAGCAACGCCGCGUGAGUGAAGAAGGGUUUCGGCUCGUAAAGCUCUGUUGGUAGUGAAGAAAGAUAGAGGUAGUAACUGGCCUUGAUUUGACGGUAAUUACUUAGAAAGUCACGGCUAACUACGUGCCAGCAGCCGCGGUAAUGCGUAGGUGGCAUGUGUUGUCCGGAUUUAUUGGGCGUAAAGCGAGUGCAGGCGGUUCAAUAAGUCUGAUGUGAAAGCCUUCGGCUCAACCGGAGAAUUGCAUCAGAAACUGUUGAGCUUGAGUGCAGGAGAGGUGAGUGGAACUCCAGGUGUAGCGGUGAAAUGCGUAGAGAUAUGGAAGAACACCAGUGGCGAAGGCGGCUCUCUGGUCUGCAACUGACGCUGAGGCUCGAAAGCAUGGGUAGCGAACAGGAUUAGAUACCCUGGUAGUC
rnacentral:rRNA from 1 species